rnacentral:rRNA from 1 species
UUAAAAAGCUCGUAGUUGGAUUUCUGGGUCAAGCUCCUGGUCCGCGCCUAACGGCGUGCAGACUGUGUGUAGCGUUGGCUCAUCCUUGUGGGAAAUUCAGUGAGGCGUUCAUUCGUCAGCUGUUGGAACCGCAUCUUUUACUGUGAAAAAAUUAGAGUGUUCAAAGCAGGCUUACGCUGUGAAUACAUUAGCAUGGAAUAAUAAGAUAGGACUUUGGUUCUAUUUUGUUGGUUGGAGGCCAAGGUAAUGAUUAAUAGGGAUAGUUGGGGGUAUUCAUAUUUAAUUGUCAGAGGUGAAAU